rnacentral:lncRNA from 1 species
GGAGUCCUCCAGUCCUGAUAAAAGUCUUCAGCCACAGAUUAAGCCAGAAGCUACUGUAUGACCACAAGGAUCAGAGGAGCCCUGCCUCUCUUUACUGGGAUGGCCUUUGGGGGAAGUUUAGCUGGGUCACGCCUGUCCCGGCCCGCGGUACUGGAGAAACCAAAAACCCACCAACAACCAGCCUGGAAGGAGAACCUGCCUGAGUUCAGAUAAGGCUCUACCACUUCCGAGUUGGCCGACUUCAAAUGGAAUUGGAGAGCAGUUGGAAACCAAGCUAGCUGGGAGUUGUCAUGUUGGUGGUCCAACAUAUCAGGAUGUUUCAAGUUUCAAGGGCUUUCUAUUUGAACUAUGCAAGUAUUUAGCAACCCCUGUGGCCUGGGCACUGGCAGUCUGCACAAACGCCAGCUGGACAAGACUGGCUGCUGUCCUCAGGUGUCCUCUGCAUAUUGGCUUGGGUAUGGAUGAUCCUGGGACACCCUACCCAGGCUCAGAAGGCCUCUGCUACUCAGCUACCUGGUGUCUUGCUAAGUGCAGGCGUCUCUGUUCAGGGUACACAGUCCUCGGGCAUGGGAACCAGAAGAUCUGGGAGCGUGGCUCAAUAAUCUGUGUGUGAAUAAACACUCCAGAUGAGUCUGAUGCAUGCAGAAGUAUGGUCACCACAGACCUAAACUGGCUUUUGAAAGCCAAUGGAAUAUGAAAAUAAAGAGAAAAAACUAUCUGUGGAAACAAAAACAUGUCACAAGGACAAUGCUAGAGUAUAUAGUUAUAAAAAAGGUAGCUGUCUGAGACAAGGACCAUACAUUACUGUGAGAAACAGAAAUGUAUUAACUAGAAUAUAUAAAGAACUCAAAAAAGAAAAAAAGACGCAGUCAAAACAUGAGCAACGGAAAAGAACAGACACUUCUCAGAAGAUGUACAAAUGGCCA